CGAGAUCUUCGGAUCUAGCGGCGGACGGGUGAGUAACGCGUGGGAACGUGCCCUUUGCUACGGAAUAGUCCCGGGAAACUGGGUUUAAUACCGUAUACGCCCUUCGGGGGAAAGAUUUAUCGGCAAAGGAUCGGCCCGCGUUGGAUUAGGUAGUUGGUGGGGUAAUGGCCUACCAAGCCGACGAUCCAUAGCUGGUUUGAGAGGAUGAUCAGCCACACUGGGACUGAGACACGGCCCAGACUCCUACGGGAGGCAGCAGUGGGGAAUCUUAGACAAUGGGGGCAACCCUGAUCUAGCCAUGCCGCGUGAGUGAUGAAGGCCUUAGGGUUGUAAAGCUCUUUCAGCUGGGAAGAUAAUGACGGUACCAGCAGAAGAAGCCCCGGCUAACUCCGUGCCAGCAGCCGCGGUAAUACGGAGGGGGCUAGCGUUGUUCGGAAUUACUGGGCGUAAAGCGCACGUAGGCGGAUCGGAAAGUUGGGGGUGAAAUCCCGGGGCUCAACCUCGGAACUGCCUCCAAAACUAUCGGUCUUGAGUUCGAGAGAGGUGAGUGGAAUUCCGAGUGUAGAGGUGAAAUUCGUAGAUAUUCGGAGGAACACCAGUGGCGAAGGCGGCUCACUGGC
rnacentral:rRNA from 1 species